UACGUAGGGGGCAAGCGUUGUCCGGAAUCAUUGGGCGUAAAGAGCGUGUAGGCGGCCCGAUAAGUCCGCCGUGAAAGUCCAGGGCUCAACCCUGGGAUGCCGGUGGAAACUGUCGGGCUAGAGUCCGGAAGAGGCGAGUGGAAUUCCUGGUGUAGCGGUGAAAUGCGCAGAUAUCAGGAGGAACACCAAUGGCGAAGGCGGCGCUCUGGGCCGGAACUGACGCUGAGGAGCGAAAGCGUGGGUAGCAAACAGG
rnacentral:rRNA from 1 species